UUUAAUAUGAGUAUCACAAGCCACAGGUGAAGAACACUGUUGGCAUAAUUACAUUAGGAUUUCACAGCAUUCACUGUCAGAUUUUCUCCUCCUCUGACCACGAAAGAAAAAGCCUUUUCCACCAUAAGUCAGUCGUGCUGUUAUGAGGCAGCCCUUGACCUCCAAAGGAGAACUUUGGAUUGCUGAAAGAAUAACAGUACCUGCCAUGGCCAUUUUGUCUGUGAGGACCCUCACCUAUUCAACUGGAAUGGGACUUCUUCAUAUACCAUCUCGUCAAUCAUGUGGCAACAUAGUGUCCAAAUCCCUCUUUCCUGACAGGGCUUCAGAAAGCAAAUGGAGUCAAAUACACCAUUUCAGUAAAUGUGAAAAAAAAAUAUGACAACCAACAAAAAGUAAUUUACUUCAUGGCAAUAAAAAUACUAGUAUGAGGACCCUCCAGAAGAGCAAGAAAACUUCAACAGAAAUGUGCUGUUGAUCACCAGAUGCCUAGAGCUGAAGAAGGUAACAUAGACAACCAGUCAGAAUGCACCUCACUUGUGAGGGAACACAGCAGGCAAAAGAUCCUCAGUGAUGCAUUGUUGGGGGAGAGGUGCUCCAAAACCUCUAAAGUACCCCACAGGGCUCCAGCACCAACUGGUAAUAUCCUAGUCAUGUAAGGCCUCUCCUGUCCUUCACCUUUUCUGUCAUAGCUAUUCCUCAACUUCAAGCUGACUUGUGGGGAUGAGGGUCAGAAACCACAAUUGUUGGCAAGCUGGGGGAGAAGGGGUAAGAAUGCAACACUGAAAAGAAGAAUGUAGAAAAAGCCACUCAGGUACCUCCCACCCAUCCUGCUUGCCCACUACCAGCUUUCUACCUAUGUAGGCCUAAAGUGUUACCUUUGAAUGAGGUUCCUACAUUUGAUCAUUAUCGUAAACCAAGACUAAAAAAAGGAACUGAGUCUAGUUUGUUUGUUUGUUUGUUUGUUUUUUCUAAAGUGACUACAGAGCAUUUUAUUAUCUGAAAAUAAGAUGAAUUCCAAGCUUAGCCAAGAUUUUAUCCAAGGGUAGGGGAAGGACCAACUGAGUUUAUAGAAGCAGUAUUUUUGAAAAAUAGAGUUAGUUUUAUAGUGGCACCAUGGUAGUUUGUUCUUGGAACAUAAGAGUUACUGUGAUUUGGGGGCACCUGGCUGGCUCAGUUGGUAGAGCAUGAAACUUCUUGAUCUUGGGGUUGUAACUUCAAGCCCCAUGUUGGAUGUAGAGAUUACUUAAAACUGAAAUCUUUAAAAAAAGAGUUUUUGAGAUUUUAGUGAUUCAACACACCAUGAAAAAUCUUUCUGCCCUGUUUCUAGAUAGAAGCCAUCAGGUUGGGAAAAUGAAGUAAGAAAAUUUUGUCCAUGUGAGCUGAGGAGAGCCUUGAAAUUGAUCUAAUAUAGUGACUAAUAAUACUAAUCAAUCCAUGAUCAAAAAUUCUGCCAUCAGGUUGUGCUGAAUUCUGUUCCAAUGGGGAUCUCAGACGCUUGUUUCUACCUUAGCAGGGAAAGGGAAGAAGGUUGGGGUACUCGAAACCACUCUCAGACUGAAGCAUAAUAUGGUGGUGACAGUUCUUCCAGCAACUCUGCUGUACCACUGAAGUGAAAAGGAUUUCCUGUACACUAAGAAUUGAAAAUUCUUCCAUGGUAUCCCAUUAUUUAUUCAGUGCAAGUACACUUGACAGCUAUCCUAUAUAAGAUACAUAAUUUACCUAAAAGGCAUGGUCCUCACUCCUGAAAAGACUGUUGUCUAAUACACUGUUUUUACUAUAAAUCCCUCCUGAAAAAAAAAGAAAAGGUGAGCAUGAAUGGCAAGUACAAACACACACUCAGAGACACCCCCUAAUUAAAAGAUGUCCGUAUUUGGGGGCACCUGGGUGGCUCAGUCGAGCGUCCAAGUUCGGCUCAGGUCAUGAUCUCACAGCUUGUGAGUUUGAGCCCUGCAUUGGGGCUCUGUGCUGACAGCUCAGAGCCUGUAGCCUGCUUCCAAUUCUGUGUCUCUGUCUCUCUCUGCUCCUCCCUUGCUCAUGCUUUCUCUCUUUCUCUCAAAAAUAAGUAAACAUUUAAAAUAAUAAUAAUAAUAAUAAUAAUAAUAAAAGAUAUCCAUGUUUCAUUGAAGUAUGAAAGUCACAAAAUUGCAUUUUUAUUUCUACUCCUACAGAGGAAAUAGUUGAGAGAAAGUCUGGGCUAUUGGAGAGACAGUCUCAAGCAGUAAGCAAAGAGAAUGAGAAUGGGGCAAGUGGGGUAAGAAGAAAUGCUGAGGUUUAGACCAGAGAAGAGAGCAGAGAGAAGCAGGCACAGAGAAUUCACCAAGCCAGAAGCAAGGGAACAGUGUGAGGAUCCCAGCAUCCCUCCAAUCUAUGACUUAACUUCUGGUGAGGACAAGGCCUGGAGGGCUGGGCCCUGGUGAGAAGAUCUCAUCACUGCAUUUCACUUAUCAGCAUAAAAUGAAGGAGGUGACCACUGAGGAAGCCUCCUUCUGAGCAGUUUUAUCUCCUGUCUGAGGAGCUGGGGCUGACCACUGCAUAUUUCUAGCAGUGAGUCAUCUGAAGACUUACUCUAAGUCUCUGGCCAUAAUCAACGCUUCCUCCCACCUAUAUCCCUGCUUGGAAUGUCUUUCUGUGACACCCUUUCAUCUCCCUAUUGAAAUCUUGCCCUACCUAUAAGACCUAACUCAAAACCCAUCACACCACAAAGCCCUCAGCCAUGUCCCUGUUCUCUAACAUCGAAUUAAAUUUAGAAGAAUUAAAUUUAGAAGGACAUGCUCACAUCACCUACUUUAUACAAAAGACUGUGUUGGAUGGUGUCCAUUCUGUUCCAAUUAUCUCUCACUGUAUAACAUACCAUCCCAAAGCAUAGUGACUUGAAACAGCUGCCAUUUUAUCAUGCUCAUGAAUGCUGUGUGUCAGAGACUGGGAAAGGACACAGUGGGGACAGUUCGUCCCUGUUCAUCUUGUUUGGAGCCCUGCCCAAAGUAACUUUCAGGGUUGGGAAUGACUCAGUAACUAAGGCCUGGAAUAGAUGGAGGAUCCACACUCAAGAUGGCUUCUUCACUCACAUAACUGUUGCCCAAGUGGGAUGGUGAAAAACAACUAGGACUCAACCAGAAGGCCUACAUGUGGCCACUCUAGUAUGGUGGCCUCAGGGUAGUAGUCAGACUUCUUGUAUGGGAACUCUGGCCAUUUAUGACCUAGCUUUGGAGGUCACAUGGCAUCACCUCUGCUAUACUCUUCUGGCCCAAGUGAACAUAAUCCGUCCAAAUUCAAGGGGAAGGUACAUAAACCUGCACCUCUUAAUGGAAGAAGUAACAAAGAAUUUGCAGUUGUGGUUUUUUUUCCUCAAUGUUU